rnacentral:rRNA from 1 species
AGUGGCGCACGGGUGAGUAACACGUGGGAACCUACCUUCUGGUACGGAACAACCAAGGGAAACUUUGGCUAAUACCGUAUACGACCUCCGGGUGAAAGAUUYAUCGCCGGAAGAGGGGCCCGCGUCCGAUUAGGUAGUUGGUGGGGUAAUGGCCUACCAAGCCGACGAUCGGUAGCUGGUCUGAGAGGAUGACCAGCCACACUGGGACUGAGACACGGCCCAGACUCCUACGGGAGGCAGCAGUGGGGAAUAUUGGACAAUGGGCGCAAGCCUGAUCCAGCCAUGCCGCGUGAGUGAUGAAGGCCUUCGGGUUGUAAAGCUCUUUCACCCACGACGAUGAUGACGGUAGUGGGAGAAGAAGCCCCGGCUAACUUCGUGCCAGCAGCCGCGGUAAUACGAAGGGGGCAAGCGUUGUUCGGAAUGACUGGGCGUAAAGGGCGCGUAGGCGGUUCGUUGCGUCAGAUGUGAAAGCCCCGGGCUCAACCUGGGAACUGCAUUUGAUACGGGCGAGCUUGAAUCCAAGAGAGGGUGGUGGAAUUCCCAGU